rnacentral:rRNA from 1 species
AUUGAACGCUGGCGGCAGGCCUAACACAUGCAAGUCGCACGAGUGGCGGACGGGUGAGUAAUGUCUGGGAAACUGCCUGAUGGAGGGGGAUAACUACUGGAAACGGUAGCUAAUACCGCAUACCAUCAUAUGUGCCCAGAUGGGAUUAGCUAGUUGGUGGGGUAACGGCUCACCAAGGAGACGAGCCCUAGCUGGUCUGAGAGGAUGACCAGACACACGGUAACUUAGCCACGGUGCAGAAUCCUAAGUGAGGCAGCAGUGGGGAAUAUUGGACAAUGGGCGCAAGCCUGAUGCAGCCAUGCCGCGUGUAUGAAGAAGGCCUUCGGGUUGUAAAGUACUUUCAGCGGGGAGGCGUUACCCGCAGAAGAAGCACCGGCUAACUCCGUGCCAGCAGCCGCGGUAAUUC